GAGAUCCCCCCAAAAAGAGCCCCUUUUCCCCCGAGUUCCUUGGGAUGGGGGCGAUCUCUGGAUCCGGGGGCCUGGGAGCGGGCUGAGGUAGCGCGGGGGAGGGGAGGCCGGCCUGGUAAAUGCAAAAGGCUGGUACAGAAGCGUUUUAGCACAAUCGGGCUGGAAAGCUCCGACUGCAACGGGCUGAGAACAAAAAAAAAAAAAAAAAAAAAAAAAAAAAAGAGAGAGAGAGAAACGUGAAAAGGCUCCUUUGCUGCCCUCUGCCUGCCGAGGCUGCGGGGGAGCCCGGCCGCCUCCGAGGCUGGCGAAGGGCUGACAUUGCCCGAGUGAAAAAACGGAGGAAUCCGGGCCAAUUCGCACACCUGUGGUGCUUCCACACAAUCAGUUAAGUUGGAAAAGACCUCUGAGAUCAUCGAGUCCAGCCCUUCCUGGCUCUGGAUGCACUGAGUUGUCCUUUUUCCCACGUGUGGACGUGCUUCUCUUCACCUCGCUUCCAGACAACUUCAGUAGAGAAGGAUGAGGCACAAAGAGGAGGAACUCACCCAGGUCCCACCCGGCACUGCAGAAGGAACCAGAAUUACCAGCCCUCGCUCUGCCUCGCCCAGGGUGUGCCCUGAUGGAAACAAACUGUCGGACAUUUUCUCCAAACACACCUCUGCUGCUGCACAGGUGAGAAGCGAAGCUGGGAAAGCAUUCCUGAGUGGAUGCAGGUAACAAGGAGGGGGGAAAUACAGUUUUGUUGUGCUGGUGAAUCCUCCAGUAGGAGGACAGAACAGCAAUUUGGGAUUAUCUCUUACAAACCAACCCAUAUCUUAGUUUUAAAAUAAUCAAGAUUUGCACAUUGUGCUGUAAGAACCAGAAAUGUUUUUCAUUUACAUUUCCAGAAACUUUUGAGAUCUCUUCCCGAAUAUUUCAACACAUUCUCCUUCCCCAUUUUCCCAGCUGGGAUAAUUUUUUGCCAGCACAGGCAAUUCUUCUCGGUAUCCAUGGGAAUUGCCUCCAUAAUUAGACGUGCACCCAGUGCACAGAUCAGAGCGCUCCAACCCAGCAGCUGGAACUAGGAGGCAGGUCUGAUUAAAUCUGCUCUGCCAUGAGGAGAAAAGCCAGCUUUAAUGAAACAUCACAGGACUCCCUACCCUGCCUUUAAACAGGGCAGGAAAAGGGACUCCGGGAUUACUUUGAGAGUGGCUGCUUGUGGUGUGCUCACAAUUCACAGAGCAGAAAGCGAGCGCUGAGUGAUCCAGGGCCUUGAAACUGGGGAUCUGCCUCAUUAAAAAGGGGCUGAUUGCCAGCAGCUUAUUAAAGGGGCUCACAGUCUGCCUUCAGAACGGCAGUGAAGGUUGGAGGGGUCAGCAGGUGCAGAUGGAGGUUUUCUCCUUGAUAGUUUCUCCUCAAGCCAGUGAGAUCAGGGUCAGCUUGUAGAGGAAUAGGCACCUGCCACCAUCCCAGGCUGCUCCAAACCCUGUCCAGCCUGGCCAUGGACACCUCCAGGGAUGGGGCAGCCACAUCUGCUCUGGACAAUAUUCAUGGGAAGUAAAUGAUUUCUAUUCCAGCACACCCGGUUCUGCAGGUACAAUGUGCUCUUCAGGAAAGGGAGCUGGAGAAAGAGGCAUACAAGUUCUUUAUCAUCAGUUGCUGCCUCCACUUGGUGUCACAAACCCCACGACUCCUGGGGGCUUCCCCUUUUAAGAAACAGAGCUGGGAGUUGGGGUGGAGCAGACGUUAAAAUUCCAAGUGGUUUGGUGGGUGGGAAAAAAGUGACUUUUAACAAAUACGCCGGGGCUGGGGGAUCAAACAGGGCUCUGGUCUAGACAGAACCGCACUCCCCGCCUGCCUCAGAAGUUCAUAGCACACCAGCUGACAGAAUUUAGCAUCUCGUUUCCCUAACAAGAUUAAAAUGCAGCUCUGUGUCCUGGGGUACUGACAGCCCCUCAGAUCUCUCCGCAUUCCAAGCCACGUUUCCUUUUCCACUGCUGGAGUCGCUCCCUUAGGAAAGGCGGCCCUGCGGACGAGCUGCGCUCGCGGAUCCCAGCAAUGCAGGUUGCUUUAGCUGGGGUUUGAACUCAGCCCUUCCUGCAGUUCUAUGAUUUGAAUAUCAUUUUCACAACCCUCGCAAACAGCAGAUGAAUGAGAGAUUCCUGGCUUUGAGUCAAAAUCUGCGGUAAUUAAAUGUUUAUAAAACACUUUAAGCAUGCGAAGUGCUGUUGUAGACAAGGAACCAACAGAUCUGGCAGAUUGGAGCUGGAUUUUAAAGCACACCAGCAAACAGAGCCCAUUUCCCCCAAUACAUCUCUCUUUUAGAGCUGCUAGGAGAGGGUUAUGGAAGCCAUGGCCAGGUUCCUUUUAUUACAGCCAGAAUAAGUGAAAUCAAAAUAAUUUUCUUUCAUGUGAAUAUGUGUAAUUCAGAAGUUUUCCCCUCUGUAAGAACUCACCAAGCAAAGGGUCAGCUUGCUGUUCAACUCAGAAAGGAACUACCCCGUGGGAAAUAGAAAUUGCUGCUACUUCUGAUCUCUCACAUAAAACUGGAGAGCUUCCACCUGUUACAGGUUUCUUACACCAUCUGCUGUUUAAAAAGAAGAUGGCAUUGGAGCUCAGCAGCACUGAGAGCUUGUUUGAUAAACCAGACGCGACACCAGCAAAUCUGAAAUGUUUCUGUAAUUGCCACAAUUCCUUUUUUUUUUUUUAUUGGAAGCCCUGAACAUGUUUUGAGUUGAUCUUCAUUAUGAAGUGAAUUAUUUCUUUGCUAGAGGAAGCAGAAUCCCAGUGAGCAGCAGCUGAAUGUCAGGUCCACAACACUUCAGUUUUCAUUUCCAGCCAUGAGGCUGUUGUUUCAGCACCAACACAAAUUUCAAGCAGUGUCAAUGUCUCCAAAGCUUGGCCCAAUGAACUGACUUAAAAAUGUUUUCAUAGGAGAGAACCAUGGUCGCCCUGGGGUAUGAGGAGCUCAAAGCAAAUAAUUCUUUCCAUUAAAAAUAAAAAUAUUGACCUUUUGCUGGCUGUGGAACAGAAUAAACACUCUAACCAAGGAUUCUUCUGCUGCUUCCUAAUUGAAAGAGAUACAAACUUUUAUCCCAGGAAAAACAACAGAACCCAGGAGCUCAUUACACAUUUAAAUUGCAAGACUCACAAAUACUGUUCUUAGUUUUGGUUGCAGACAUUUGUAAUAACAAUUUUUUCUAAAACAAAAAGACUUUUCUCCAAAGGGGUCCUUGGCCAUUCACCCUGAGACAAGCAGGGGUUUAGACAAAAACCACCCAAAGCCUCCAAAUCUAACACCAAACAGAGGUGGCAGCUCUGGGAUUUUUCUCCAGUGUGAUCCCAUCAGCGCAGUUGCAGCAUCACCCCCACCUCUCGCAUUUCUCACCCCUCCACGCAUCAUUUAAAGUCAGUGGCUCCUUUUGUGAGCCGGCUCCUCACCCCGGCACUUUCCCUGCACUUCGACAAAAGAGACCUUUUACAUGUCAAUUUAUUUUCAGACAAGCAUAUCUGAAAGGGAGUUUCCCUCCGGAGUCGAAUUAGUAUUAAUGGCAGGUGUUCAGUGGCACACAAAGGGAGGGAGGCUGAGCCGAGGCACUAAGACAGCUUGAUGUUUUAAUAACCAGAGGCAAGGAAUGGAGUGGCAGCGGACCUGCGGCUUCCCCGGCGUGAGUGAAGGUUUUAUUCAGAGCCCCCAUGUACUGCCGAAAGAAGACCUUGAAAUAUUUUAAAUGUUUUCUUUGCCUUCAAAGAGGGAUUAAAUUGUUGAAUAUUCCAUGAAAGCGCAGCAUCCACCCCACAUCCCGUGGAACUCACUCGCAGUCACCAAGUACUUCCGAAGCCUCCCGCAGCCUCGGGAAGCAGCCGUGGCCACCACGAGGAGGUGGUGGCACCCAGGAGGCCUCCAGCUGCACAGUUCACCAUCCACCAGUGCCUGGAGAUGCUGAAAAAAGAAUUACAUGGACUAACUCAAAGGUGGAAACUUGGAGAGGGAUUUGCAUUAAAGUUUAAAAAGUUAAAACCACA